CGCCACCGACCGCCCGCCUAGCCGAGAGGAGGGAAGGGGCGUGGCCUGCACUUAAAGGGGCCGCGGCCCGCCUGGGCGAUCAGCUCUCCGAGUCUCGCGUCGUGAGCGCUGCCUGAAGCAGUGAGAUGCACGAGGGUUGGCUAUUCACUCUGGGGGUCUCCGCCGCUGAACUCUCCUGAAUGACUGACUGGAGGAAACUGGCCCUGGAGGGAGAGCACUUGAGGGGCUCUCCAGUGGGGCUUGUAAAGGAGUGGCUUAAAUGACUUUUCUUGAAAGCAGAGGAAACGCAUUGAAGGAAACCAGUGGCAUAGCUAACGGCCCUUCCUUCUGGAGUUGUCCUGGUUUUAAAUGUCUUGUCGCCUGGUCCACACAGUCACAUGGAGACAGGAAGAGGAAAGUCUCGAGUGUCCUCUCGCCCUGCUCAGUUUUCAGUGUGUGAGGCCCUUCGUGGUAAGCAUCUAUUGGGAGCCCGCUCAGACCCGUCUUGCGCAAUCCGUUUGCUCAGUAAUGACAUUCACCCAGAGGCCAGAAAAACCCUGAAGGAGUCGGGAAGCUGGGUGUCGUCAUUCUUCCAGCUGGUCCCAUGUGACAAAGUUUGGAUUAGAUAUUGCAGAUGGCUUCAAGGGGAUUACUUCCCAGACUUUGUCAUGAGAAGCAUUUGA
rnacentral:lncRNA from 1 species